rnacentral:rRNA from 1 species
UACGUAGGGGGCAAGCGUUAUCCGGAAUCACUGGGCGUAAAGGGUGCGUAGGCGGCCGAGAAAGUCCGGGGUGAAAGGCUACGGCUCAACCGUAGUAAGCCUUGGAAACUUCUUGGCUUGAGUGCAGGAGAGGUAAGUGGAAUUCCUAGUGUAGCGGUGAAAUGCGUAGAUAUUAGGAGGAACACCAGUGGCGAAGGCGACUUACUGGACUGUAACUGACGCUGAGGCACGAAAGCGUGGGGAGCGAACAGGAUUAGAUACCCCCGUAGUCC